CCCCAACACAUGGCGUAGGCCCUGUCCAUUUGUCAGCUGUCCUAGGUCUGAUCUGCAGAGCCACUGGCAUCCUCCCUCUGUGUGCUUCUGGCAUUUGUUUCCAGCCCCACAUGCUGGCUGAGAGGCACUCCCACCCUCCAGGGAGCUGUGUUCCAACUGGCCAGACCACUUCCCUUCCCCUGGUACAUAUCGCAACUCUGCGCCCCAACCCGAGGCAGAGACAGGCAGCACAUAUAAGGAAGCACUCCGAGAGGGGCUUGGGGUGAAGGCCCGUUGGGACACUAGUGGCCUCCUUUUGGCUUCCUUCAGAAGCAGAGCUCGAGGCAAGAACUUGCAUCCACGUAAGGCGUUGGGGAGUGAGCUGUAAAAGCAGGAUUGAGAUAACAAGAAGGAGACACAGAAAAAGAAGAAAAACCAACAAAGGAACAUUUCUGACACCAAAUGUGUGAGUUCUCUCCACACCAACCAAUUCUCCAACUCUCCAGAUACCAGCUGGGUGUCCUACAGUCCAAUUCAAUUCUGACACUAACGGCUCAGAGUUAACGCAGUUAACGAGACUGCCCCCACUUCAGACACCAGCGAUGAUUUACCUGUUGAAGAACUUUGGCCAUUUGACCUGUGAUGUUUCCUAAGUGAGGAUUUUGCUGACUACGUACUUAUGGUGCCGCUCUCCAUUUUCCUCCAUCUUCUGUACGUCCUGCAAAUUGGCAGCUGAGUCCAGCAGCUUGAUCAGACUCAGAUUUCAUUCCUUUGGCAAAAACGUGUCUUUGAAGACAGAGACAGCCAAGGGGAGAUGCAGAGCAAGCGCAGGCAGUUGGGUGCGUCAGCCUGGAGAGCAGAGAAGAGCGUGGGUGUCAACAUGCACGUUGGAGCCCUUGGUGUCCGGAUGGUGUUUAAAAUCCAAGGAAAGACGAGGCCACCUAAGGAGAGAGAAGAAGGUUGCAAAUGGGCCCUGAGUGAGCCAAGCGCUCACACCAGGAGCUGGGAGCUGGGAGCCAGCCAAGGAGCCCCAGGGUGAAGGGGAAACCCCCUCGGUGUUUGAAGAGAGA
rnacentral:lncRNA from 1 species